rfam:Ovis aries breed Texel chromosome 9, whole genome shotgun sequence.
UCCUGACAGCUCAGUUGGUAAAGAAUCUACCUGCAAUGCAGGAAACCCUGGUUCGAUUCCUGGGUCAGGAA